rnacentral:rRNA from 1 species
AGAGUUUGAUCAUGGCUCAGGAUGAACGCUAGCGGCAGGCCUAAUACAUGCAAGUCGAACGGGACUAAGUAGCAAUACUUAGUUCAGUGGCGCACGGGUGCGUAACGCGUAUGCAACCUACCUUAAACUGGGGGAUAGCCUUCCGAAAGGGAGAUUAAUACCGCAUAAUACUAUUUGAUGGCAUCUGAAGAUAGUUAAAGAUUUAUUGGUUUAAGAUGGGCAUGCGUGCCAUUAGCUAGUUGGUAGUGUAACGGACUACCAAGGCUACGAUGGCUAGGGGUUCUGAGAGGAUGAUCCCCCACACUGGCACUGAGAUACGGGCCAGACUCCUACGGGAGGCAGCAGUAGGGAAUAUUGGGCAAUGGACGAAAGUCUGACCCAGCCAUGCCGCGUGCAGGAAGAAGGCCUUCUGGGUUGUAAACUGCUUUUAUCUGGGAAGAAAACACCUAUGCGUAGGGAACUGACGGUACCAGAUGAAUAAGCACCGGCUAACUCCGUGCCAGCAGCCGCGGUAAUACGGAGGGUGCAAGCGUUGUCCGGAUUUAUUGGGUUUAAAGGGUGCGUAGGCGGCCCGAUAAGUCAGUGGUGAAAGCCUCCAGCUCAACUGGAGAACUGCCAUUGAUACUGUCGGGCUUGAGUACAGACGAGGUUGGCGGAAUUGAUUGUGUAGCGGUGAAAUGCAUAGAUACAAUCAAGAACACCGAUUGCGUAGGCAGCUAACUAGGCUGUAACUGACGCUGAGGCACGAAAGCGUGGGGAGCGAACAGGAUUAGAUACCCUAGUAGUCC